rnacentral:rRNA from 1 species
AGUGAACGCUGGCGGUAGGCCUAACACAUGCAAGUCGAACGGCAGCACAGUAAGAGCUUGCUCUUACGGGUGGCGAGUGGCGGACGGGUGAGGAAUACAUCGGAAUCUACUUUUUCGUGGGGGAUAACGUAGGGAAACUUACGCUAAUACCGCAUACGACCUACGGGUGAAAGCAGGGGAUCUUCGGACCUUGCGCGAUUGAAUGAGCCGAUGUCGGAUUAGCUAGUUGGCGGGGUAAAGGCCCACCAAGGCGACGAUCCGUAGCUGGUCUGAGAGGAUGGUCAGCCACACUGGAACUGAGACACGGUCCAUACUCCUACGGGAGGCAGCAGUGGGGAAUAUUGGACAAUGGGCGCAAGCCUGAUCCAGCCAUACCGCGUGGGUGAAGAAGGCCUUCGGGUUGUAAAGCCCUUUUGUUGGGAAAGAAAAGCAGCAGGUUAAUACCCCGCUGUUCUGACGGUACCCAAAGAAUAAGCACCGGCUAACUUCGUG